rnacentral:rRNA from 14 species
UUGGCCCGCAAAUCGAGGAAAGAUGCUGCAGAGAGUACAGGAGCUGCGGGCAAAGCAGUUUCCACUAAACCGCCGCAUGCGAA